rnacentral:rRNA from 1 species
GAGUUUGAUCCUGGCUCAGGAUGAACGCUGGCGGCGUGCUUAACACAUGCAAGUCGAACGGAGGAUGUACGGUGAAGAGAUUUCGGUCAAAUCAUGUGCAUCUUUAGUGGCGGACGGGUGAGUAACGCGUGGGUAACCUGCCUUACACAGGGGGAUAACACUUAGAAAUAGGUGCUAAUACCGCAUGAGCGCACAGGACCGCAUGGUCGAGUGUGAAAAACUGAGGUGGUGUAAGAUGGACCCGCGUCUGAUUAGCUAGUUGGUGAGGUAACGGCCCACCAAGGCGACGAUCAGUAGCCGGCCUGAGAGGGUGGACGGCCACAUUGGGACUGAGACACGGCCCAAACUCCUACGGGAGGCAGCAGUGGGGGAUAUUGGACAAUGGGGGGAACCCUGAUCCAGGGACGCCGCGUGAGUGAAGAAGUAUCUCGGUAUGUAAAGCUCUAUCAGCAGGGAAGAAGAAAUGACGGUACCUGAGUAAGAAGCCCCGGCUAACUACGUGCCGGCAGCCGCGGUAAUACGUAGGGGGCAAGCGUUAUCCGGAAUUACUGGGUGUAAAGGGAGCGUAGACGGUGAUGCAAGUCUGGAGUGAAAGGCGGGGGCUCAACCCC